rnacentral:rRNA from 1 species
UAGGGAAUCUUCCACAAUGGACGCAAGUCUGAUGGAGCAACACCGCGUGAGUGAAGAAGGCUUUCGGGUCGUAAAACUCUGUUGUUGGAGAAGAAUGGUCGGCAGAGUAACUGUUGUCGGCGUGACGGUAUCCAACCAGAAAGCCACGGCUAACUACGUGCCAGCAGCCGCGGUAAUACGUAGGUGGCAAGCGUUAUCCGGAUUUAUUGGGCGUAAAGCGAGCGCAGGCGGCUUUUUAAGUCUGAUGUGAAAGCCCUCGGCUUAACCGAGGAAGUGCAUCGGAAACUGGGAAACUUGAGUGCAGAAGAGGACAGUGGGACUCCAUGUGUAGCGGUGAAAUGCGUAGAUAUAUGGAAGAACACCAGUGGCGAAGGCGGCUGUCUGGUCUGUAACUGACGCUGAGGCUCGAAAGCAUGGGUAGCGAACAGGAUUAGAUACCCUGGUAGUCCAUGCCGUAAACGAUGAAUGCUAGGUGUUGGAGGGUUUCCGCCCUUCAGUGCCGCAGCUAACGCAUUAAGCAUUCCGCCUGGGGAGUACGACCGCAAGGUUGAAAC